rnacentral:tRNA from 1 species
GCCUGGGUGGCUCAGUCGGUUGAGUGUCCGACUUCAGCUCGGGUCAUCAUGAUCUCAGUUUGUGAGUUCGAGCCCCACAUGGGGCU